GAUGAACGCUAGCGGCAGGCUUAACACAUGCAAGUCGAGGGGUAUAGUUCUUCGGAAUUAGAGACCGGCGCACGGGUGCGUAACGCGUAUGCAACCUACCUUUUACAGAGGGAUAGCCCAGAGAAAUUUGGAUUAAUACCUCAUAGUGUUAUUAGAUGGCAUCAUUUGAUAACUAAAGUUCCAACGGUAAAAGAUGGGCAUGCGUCCUAUUAGCUAGAUGGUAAGGUAACGGCUUACCAUGGCUACGAUAGGUAGGGGUCCUGAGAGGGAGAUCCCCCACACUGGUACUGAGACACGGACCAGACUCCUACGGGAGGCAGCAGUGAGGAAUAUUGGAC
rnacentral:rRNA from 1 species